AUUGAACGCUGGCGGCAGGCCUAACACAUGCAAGUCGAGCGGAGCGGCGGACGGGUGAGUAAGGCCUAGGAAUCGGCCUGGUCGUGGGGGAUGGCGGCCGGAAACGGGCGCUAAUACUGCAUCCUCGCAGAUUCGCCUAGGUCGGAUUCGCUAGUUGGUGGGGUAAAGGGCUACCAAGGCGACGAUCCGUAACUGGUCUGAGAGGAUGAUCAGUCACACUGGAACUGAGACACGGUCCAGACGCCUACGGGAGGCAGCAGUGGGGAAUAUUGGACAAUGGGCGAAAGCCUGAUCCAGCCAUGCCGCGUGUUUGAAGAAGUUCUUCGGAUUGUAAAGCACUUUAAGUUGGGAGGCGUUACCAACAGAAUAAGCACCGGCUAACUUCGUGCCAGCAGCCGCGGUAAUAC
rnacentral:rRNA from 1 species